rnacentral:lncRNA from 1 species
GUACUAUGGGCGGGGGCAGGAAGAACAGGAAGGGUAAUGCCUCCUAAUUAAUCUGAGUUCUGUAAGGCAGGCCUCUCCCCGGAAUUCUGGAUGAUCAUAUCCAAUUGCCUGCUGGGGAGCUCCACUUGGAUUGCCUACAGUAUUUCACAUCCAGCAUAUCCCAAACUCAGUCUACCCUCAGACUCCCUAGAUCCUCCUCUGUCAGUCUCUUCCUUAGCAGGGCAACAAUCUACCCAGAGUGUGUCAAUCACCAAGACUUACAUUUUCUUUCUAAACACCUCUAUUUUCUCUAAUAUUUUCCUAAUUCAGUCCUUUUUAAUCUUAAUCAUUCAAUACAUAUUUUUGAGGACUUACUAUCAGUGGGGAGCUGGGCAGGUGAAACAGACAGUAAGAAAGUAAAUAAGAAAUUUGAGAUGAAGGUGACUGUUUUUGUUUGUUUUUUUUUUUCCUUUUUCUCCCCAAAGCCCCCCGGUACAUAGUUGUGUAUUCUUCGUUGUGGGUUCCUCUAGUUGUGGCAUGUGGGACGCUGCCUCAGCGUGGUCUGACGAGCAGUGCCAUGUCCGCGCCCAGGAUUCGAACCGACGAAACACUGGGCCGCCUGCAGCGGAGCGCGCGAACUUAACCACUCGGCCACGGGGCCAGCCCCGAAGGUGACUGUUUUGAAGACUAUUUUUAGGCUGCUUGAAGAGGUAACAUUUAACCUAAGACUUGAGGAGAAGAGCCAGCCUGUUAGGAUUCUGGAAAUAGCUUUCUGGACACGGGGUAUGACAAGGUUAGGAGGCAGAAGACCUUAACAGACUCCAGGAACAGAAAGGUGGCCACGUGGGUUGGUGCUUGGGAGAGCAGUCGGCAAAGAGAAAGGAUAGAUUGAAGGUAUAAGGUAAGCCAGCCCCUUGCUCCCCAACCUCAGAAUACACACUUGACUGACUGGCUGAGGUUCUCCAUCUUCUCCGUAAGAUGUGCUGACACCCUGGAUGCUCAUGGCGAGCUGGCUCCUUCUUAAGACACCUGCACACGCCUGUUCCCUCCCAGGAGAGCUGUGUGACUACC